rnacentral:lncRNA from 13 species
CCUUCCACCUCCGGGCUCGCACCUGGGGCCGUGCAAGACGAGCCGGCUCUGGAGAUUUACGUUCGGGACAGUGAAACCAGAUUUCCCAGAAGUUCCCCACUCUGGGCUACAGUGGGAUCUUGAAGCCAUGACCUCCUGGAGCAGGACAGAAGAGUGGCACAGCAGGGGC